UUUUUCAUAGCUAUUUGUUGACUAUGUUUUUUAUACAAAGCGUGUAUGUUGGCCAUUUUUCUCUUUCAUCUUAGAAAUUCACCAUCCUAAGAGUUAUACACCACACACACACACACACACACACACACACACACACACACAAAUAGCAUGUCCUUCUACUAAAAUAGGUUGGAACGCCUGUAUGCCAAAUCUAUGCAAAGUAGGCGCCCUAUUCAGUAAUACGGGAUGCCCUUGCAUAACUUACUGAGGUAUAUGCAUUUGAAAGGGGUGCCCGGGUUAGUAUAUAUAUCAUGAGCAAUAUGGAGACCUCGCCCAUGAAGUAAAUCAUCGCACCUAUGGUCCAACCAAUUUACAUAUUAUACUGUUCAUAAAGUGUAUUUUACUUGCUUUGACUAAGAGAGGUCAUCCAGAAAUCAAAUCAUGUGAGAUUUUCACUAGAUCUUGCUUCAUGGGACACAAAAGGAUGUUCACUUUGUAUUCAAAGUAAGAAAUUUCCUAUAUAGGAAUACUGAGUGAUGGACCAAUAUAUGAUAUCUGCAAGCACUAUAAUUUUCACAUGAGUCUACCCUUGUAUAAUGUUCUUAGUAAAAAAAAUAUAUAAAAAAAACUUGAUGGAAGGUUCUUUCAUCUUUCUUAACUGCAUUCAUGAUUAAAUUACCCGUUUGAACACAAUAUUACCCUAUUUUAAGGUUGUAGAUAUGCAAAUUUCAGUGAAAAUAAAUGUUUAUCAACGCAUUAAAUUUCAACAUGCAAAGCUUAUGUGGCAUGUACCAAGAAUUUCAUGUUUACAAAGGUACCAUUGUAAAGCAGGGUUUCUAGGAUUCGACAACACAAUAUAAAUAAGGAUGCACUCUCCAUAUCUAGUCUAGUCGAAUCAAGUUUCAAAAACUCAAUACACACUAACAUUUGAUUGGGGGAUUAUGUGAUCGAAAGUCGAGAGGAUCAACUGUUGAAAUAUGUAUCAAUAACUGAAUAUACAUAGAGGCCUUUAAGGGAAGAGAUCUUUAAUUUUUUUUUUUAUUAAAAAAUGGGGAUUAGUUGUGGUGCUCACAUCAUAUAUAACUUCAACGAUCUGAACCAUCUAUUUUCAAGUUGCACCUCAUAUAUCAUUCUUGCAAAGUAUUACCCAAAUCGGAAAUACUUGAGACAUCUAAUUGUGGUAAAAGAAAUUGAUGAACACUUUUGUUUGUACCAUACUUGACCAAUUCCGAAACUACUGAGCACCGGUCAACGUUAUACCGUCAAGGACCUAGAAGAGUUUCCCUCCAACCAGGAGGCUAAUCAUAGUGCGACACAUGUCAACAACAGAAGCCAAUCACAACACGACACGUGUCAAUGUCAGAAUGAAACUAGAAACUCUCUUCUAUAAAUAGAGAUCAUUUUCUCACAAUAUUUCCUAAUGUCAUUUGUACUAAAUCAUUCACUAGUACUCACUAAAGGAGAGCUUGAACCUAUGUACUUGUGUAAACCCUUCACAAUUAAUGAGAACUCCUCUACUCCGUGGACGUAGCCAAUCUGGGUGAAUCACGUACAUCUUGUGUUUGCUUCCUUGUCCCUAUCCAUUUACAUACUUAUCCAUACUAGUGACCAGAGCAAUCUAGCGAAUGUCACAAACUUAACACUUUCUGUUGUACCAGAGUCCUCGCUGAUUUUGUGCAUCAACAUUUGGCGCUGUCUGUGGGAACGACACUUAUUUCCACUCUCUUCAACUUUGCCAAGCUGGUUUCCACCAUUCGUACACUCUCUUUUGACCAGGCAUCCCUUUCCAACAUGGGGAGUGAAGGAAGCCACAGCACACAGAAUGACACCCCUCUUGCACCUAGUGCGAAGCAACGAAAGAAGGAAAGAAAGAGGGUUGCUCUUCAAGCUAAAGUCGAUGAGCUUGAAGCUCAGAACAACAAGAUAGCAAUGAAGAAUGAGGUCCUCCAGGAGCCAUAUGAGAAGCUCUUUAAGAUACUCCACGAAACUAGGUGUACUCAAACAUGCAAGCUCGUUGCCCCUAUGGACAUCAACCAUCAUCUGGGUGCCCCCCAACAUGGAGGGUCACCUCUCUUCGACAUGGAUAUCCUUGAUGAGGAACAAGCUAAUCAUCAAAACAUUGAUCAACAUAAGACUUCUCUUAACCCAGAUGCUUCGACCCGAAGUAGAAAAAGUGGAGGAAGACACAAUAUUGCAGAAGGGUUGGAAGGAUCGAAAGCUGUUUAUCGUGACUGCCAAGACUUCCUAAAGGAACGUCGAGAGAAUCCCCUCCACAUAUGCUCGAAGAUCAAUGACCCAAGGGAUUCUGAAAGACUCGAUCCCCUCCCAAGACCCAGGCCAGUUGCCAAUCUAGGGAAGGAACGACAGGUCCCAGAGGAACAUGAAGGUACGGGGGACUCUGAGGUAUUCUGACAGACUCACCCUAGAAGUUAGUACGGCGAAUCCAAGAAAAAACCACACGCCCAUGCUCAAACUUUCCUACUUCCAAGAGGCGAUGGAGACUUACGAAAGAAAAUUCCAGUGGUACAUAACUCCACUCAUGACCCCCUUGUCCUACAGCUCCUUGAGGAAGUAAACAAGUUGAAGGCCGAAUGUCAGGCCGAGAUACCUGACUGGAACCAACCCAAGCCUGGCCUUCUCACAAGAAGAAUCGUCGACACCCCCUUCAAACGAAGAAGACACAAUUGAACACCUUAAUCUCUUUAAGUCCACCAUGGCAUAUCAGAUGCACACCAACGAAGAGCGAUGUCUUCUCUUCCCCUCCACCCUCUCUGGCGGAGCUCUAAACUGGUAUUGCCGUCUUGCACCUAAGACAGUAGACUCAUUUGAAGAAUUAAGGAAAUUGUUUGUCUCUUAACAUAUCUUCCAGACCAAUUACUUGCAUUCUGCAGAUGACUUAUACACUAUUCGCCAGAAGCCGGACGAGUCACUACGAGAGUAUGCCGGUCGCUUCAGCCAUGAGUAUUCUCGAUACGCUGAAGUAGAUGACAAGACCGCCCUCAAGGCCUUCAUGGCAGGCCUACGUGAUUGUUUCUUCAAGUACAUGAUCAAUUCCAACACUUGGAAGACUUACUAUGAGGUGAUGGCACAGGCUUACAACCACGUCUUCGCCGAAGCAAGGACAUACCAAGGGAACCCCCUAUGGUUAACCCCUAUCAACAAAUGGGAAGUGGAAGUCAAGUUCUACCAAGAGAUGAGAUAUUGGCCAUUCAGACACCAAUUGCAUCAUCUCCUGCCUUAUUUAGCUACUCGCUAAGUCACCAAACGUAUCUGUCUCUUGGUAAGAGGAAGGAUUUUUACUCUAAGCAAGCCCAUUACAACAAGAGGGAUAAAAGUUCGUAUCAAGACAACCAGGGGUGAACGUACCGUCGACUAUUAUGACUAUAGGGCCAAGCCUCACUCUUUCAAAGUGGAGGACUAGGUACUGAAGGAAAUGGUAUUAUAAGAAGGCAUACAUAUUACAAAUGUUUUGACUCUCAAUCGCUUAAGAUCUUUUGUCACACAAGCCAUUCGGCAAAUAUUUAAAGAAGAGGGAAUUCAGACAACUUCUUCUGAGUCUUUUGCAUUCCUAGCACUGGAACACUUGGUCUACGCUGACCUACCCUUAUACUCCAACUUAGAGCUUCAACAUGCAUGCUUUGACACAAAGUAUGUGAUACCAACCAACAUGGUUCACAUAUCAAAAGCAUGGAUCCCUUCAUGCAUAGCAAAACAUUCAUAAGCGUCACUCAUAUCAAUCAACAUAAACGUUAUACAUUCAAACACAUUCAUACAUAAACAUCAUACAUGCCAACACAUUCAUACAUAAACAUCAUACAUUCCAACACAUCCAUACAUAAGCCAACUGUGAUUCGAAAGGGUUCAACAUACUUUGUGUCUUCGACACUUGCUACAAUGUGCCUCAACACCUUGCCCUUAUUCUCACCAACCAGGUGAUGAAAUGUACAACCCGUACUCUAAUAUCAUUUGGCAACUUGCCACUCAUGCCACCAACCAGGUGAUGAAAUGUACAACUCGUACUCUAAUAUCAUUUGGUAACUUGUCACUCAUGCCACCAACCAGGUGAAGAAGGAACUCAUUUUCGUGCCACCAACCAGGUAAUGAAAUGUACAACCCGUACUCUCCUUCAUGCCACCAACCAGGUGAUGAAAUGUACAACCCGUACUAUAAUAUCAUUUGGUAACUUGCCACUCAUGCCACCAACCAGGUGAACAAGGAACUCAUUUUCAUGCCAUAAACCAGGUGAAUAAGGAACUCAUCUUCAUGCCACCAACCAGGUGAUGAAAUGUACAACCCGUACUCUUCUUCAUGCCACCAACCAGGUGAUGAAAUGUACAACCCAUACUCUAAUAUCAUUUGGCAACUUGCCAUUCAUGCCACCAACUAGGUGAAGAAGGAACUCAUCCUCGUGCCACCAACCAAGUGAUGAAAUGUAAUGAAAGGUGAUAAAGGAACUUACCUUCAUACCACCAACCAAGUGAUGAAACCAACUCACCAUUCAUUCCACCUACCAGAAGACGAGUGGUACAACUUGUACAUGUGAACUCCUAGCAUUCACAAAUAAUAAAAAACCUUCAAGCUGGACAACUCAACUAGGGAAGCAUUUAUGCCCAACAAGAGUUAUAGUCACCAACAAAGUCCUAUUGCAAGCCAACAACAACUUCAGUGCAUGUCAUACGAAGAUCAAACUAUUCAGCCCUCUUGCAUCUGCUUUAGACAUUUCCCUUUUGUAACAAUGCAAACACUACAACUCGCAGAAAGCUUCACACUCUUGAUCAAGACAGUCUGAAGCAAAACCAAUUUAUGGUGUUAACAAGAGCUUCAUCAAUGGAGGGCAACCAUAAUUCUCAAAAGCUUCACACACUCUUGAUCAAGACAGUGUGAAGCAAAACCAAUUUAUGGUGUCAACAAGAGCUUCAUCAAUGGAAGGCAAGCAUAAUUCUCAAAAGCUUCAUAUACUCUUGAUCAAGACAGUGUGAAGCAAAACCAAUUUAUGGUGCCAACAAGAACUUCAUCAAAGGAGUUCAACCACAAUUCUUAAAAUCUUCACACACUCUUGAUCAAGAUAGUGUGAAGCAAAACCAAUUUAUGGUGCCAACAAGAGCUUCAUCAAUGGAGGGCAACCACAAUUCUCAAAAACUUCACACACUCUUGAUCAAGACAGUGUGAAGCAAAACUAAUUUAUGGUGCCAUCAAGAGCUUCAUCAAUGGAGGGUAACCACAAUUCUUAAAAGCUUCACACACUCUUGAUCAAUACAGUGUGAAGCAAAACCAAUUUAUGGUGCCAACAAGAGCUUCAUCAAUGGAGGGUAACCAGAAUUCUCAAAAGCUUCACACACUCUUGAUCAAGACAGUGUGAAGCAAAACCAAUUUAUGGUGUCAACAAGAGCUUCAUCAAUAAAAGGCAAGCAUAAUUCUCAAAAGCUUCACAUACUCUUGAUCAAGACAGUGUGAAGCAAAACCAAUUUAUGGUGCCAACAAGAACUUCAUCAAAAGAGUUCAACCACAAUUCUUAAAAUCUUCACACACUCUUGAUCAAGAUAGUGUGAAGCAAAACCAAUUUAUGGUACCAACAAGAGCUUCAUCAAUGGAGGGCAACCACAAUUCUCAAAAACUUCACACACUCUUGAUCAAGACAGUGUGAAGCAAAACCAAUUUAUGGUGCCAUCAAGAGCUUCAUCAAUGGAGGGUAACCACAAUUCUUAAAAGCUUCACACACUCUUGAUCAAUACAGUGUGAAGCAAAACCAAUUUAUGGUGUCAACAAGAGCUUUAUCAAUGGAGGGUAACCAGAAUUCUCAAAAGCUUCACACAUUCUUGAUCAAGACAGUGUGAAGCAAAACCAAUUUAUGGUGCCAACAAAAGCUUCAUCAAAGGAGUUCAACGACAAUUCUCAAAAGCUUCACACACUCUUGAUCAAGACAGUGUGAAACAAAACCAAUUUAUGGUGCCAACAAGAGCUUCAUCAAUGGAGGGCAACUACAAUUCUCAAAAGCUUCACACACUCUUGAUCAAGAUAGUGUGAAGCAAAACCAAUUUAUGGUGCCAACAAAAGCUUCAUCAAUGGAGGGCAACUACAAUUCUCAAACAUUCAAGGCAUAUUCAAGAUUGUUUGAAGCAAAUUCAAUUUAUAUGGUUCAUCCAAACCUUCAACUACUACAAGGUGUGGCUUGCAUCACAAUCUCUUGCUCAACAAUGUGGAAGGAAAAUUUGUAUAUGUUGUCUCUCCCAUAUUUCCAAAUUUCUACUUUCCAAAAAAAAAAAAAAAAGGGAAAUUCAACAAAACUUCAUCAAUGAAGGACAACUACAAAUUCUCAAAAGCUUCACACUAUCUUGAUCAAGAUAGUGUGAAGCAAAAUCAAUUCGUGGUACCCAACAAAGCUUCAUCAAUGCAGGACAACUACAAAUUCUCAAAAGCUUCACACUAUCUUGAUCAAGAUAGUGUGACGCAAAAGCAAUUCAUGGUACCCAACAAAAACUUUAACUCUAAAGCUUCACCUACAAAGCUUCAACUCCAAAGCUUCACCUACAAAAGCUUCACCCAUAAUAGCUUCACCUACAAAAGCUUCACCCACCACAAAAGCUUUACCUACAAAAGCUUCACCCACAAUAGCUUCACCUACAAAUGCUUUACCCAUAAAAGCUUCACCAACAAAAGCUUCACCCACCACAAAAGCUUCACCUACAAAAGCUUCACCCAUAAAAGCUUCACCAACAAAAGCUUCACCCACAAAAGCUUCCCCCACCACAUAAACUUCACCCACAAAAGCUUCACCUACAAAGGUUCAACACAAAAGCUUCACACUAUCUUGAUCAAGAUAGUGUGAAGCAAAAUCAAUUCAUGGUACCCAACAAAGCUUCAACCUCAAAGCUUCACCCAUAAAGCUUAAAAAAUAUAUAUAUAUACACAUACAUAUUUUUGGAAAUUUGAAAAUUCAAAAAAAAAUUCAAAAAUUCAAAAAUUCAAAAAUUCAAAAAUUCAAAAAUUCAAAAAUUCAAAUAUUAAAAAAAAAAAAAUGGCCUAGGCCUCAUCUUUUUUGGGCCUAACAACUUUCAUAACAAAUAUAUAUGAAGGAGGAGUUUUGGGCUACCACUUAGAAAGGAAAAUGGUUAAGUUUUGUUACUUUGGAAACUUGGCUACUAGCAAGACACCUCCUUCGUCAACUCCCUCGACCGGAGACUUGGGGGACUCCUACCAUAUGCUACUGCACCUUGAUACUCGGAAGUCUCACGACCACUUAGUGACUUGGAUUUUUUCAAGUCUCAAACCGAGAAGUUUUCCUCACUCAGGAAAUUAAAGGAGCACUACCUCAACCUACAUGCUUCACUCACAAAGCUUCAACAUACAAGAUUCAACAAAAGGAAAAAUUCAAAGAACUUAGUGAAGAAGGCCUUGGUGUAUUUAACACAAUAUGUUGAAAUGAAGCAAAGCUUGUUUAUUGAUAUCUCCGAUAAGUUACAAAUAUGUACAUAUACAUGAAUCAAAAUAAACAAACAAGAGGGAGCCUUCACAAAGGUUGCUCAGGAGAAGUCUCAGCAGUCGGCAGAGCCCCAGAAAGAGGAGGCACCAGAGGGUGAUUAUUCGGAGCCUCAAUACUAGGAAAAACCACAGAAGGAGGAGGCACCGAAAGUUGAUCAUUUGGAGCUUCAUUACGCGGUACAGCUUCAGAAGACGAAGGCAAUAAAUGCCUUUGGAACAAACCCACAAACCUCUGAUGAUCAAGUAAAAUCUGACCAUCAGAUUCCUGCAGCUGGUCGAGCUUUCUCUUCAUGUUUGUAGCAUAGUCAUGUGCGAGCCUGUGCAACUGUUUAUUCUCAUGCUUGAGCCCUCUGAUCUCCUGUUUGAGACUUAUCACUUCAGCCGCCAAUGAUUCAACUUGGCGGGUUCGAGCAAAUAGGCGUUGGGCCAUAUUAGACACAGAACCUGCACAUUGAACACUGAGAGCCAGAAAAUCCUUAACAGCCAAUUCAUUAAACCGUUUGGAAAGUAGUCUGUUAUCUUUGGGAGUGAGAAGGUUCCUGGCCACCACCGUAACGGUCAUAUCAUUCUUCAUCACAGAGUCCCUAACGGUAAGAGGACCAGUAAGGGAUAAGAAGGAUGGGCGCCAUAUGUUGUCUUGAGAAGGCAUGGCUGCCUCUUCACCAAAGUUCAAAUCAAAACGACGGUCGGAUGGGCCAGACAUUCUCAGAAAUGAUGAAGGAAAAAUGAGGUGCAAUAAAUCUCUAAAGUAAGGGGAAAAUUCCUACAAGAAAUAACUCUCUGAAUGUACUUCUUGCACACAAUUGGUGCCUUUAUAAAAGAAAGGGCAAUAGGGUCGUUGGUUCAAAAAUCGAAGAGGCACCACUCUUCGGAUUUCGAAGAGGCACCAUUUUCCACACGUAACAUCAGCUCCUUGGGUACCAUAGGUAAUUUUGCCAAAGAUCUCUGACAAAGUUUAGACACAUAAAUUUUGAAGGUCCAGCUACCCUACUAUUACCCACAAGGGUAAAGGAACAGCACCACUGCUUGAUAACUAGAAAGUCCCAAUGUGUGUCAACCUUCGUGCUCCGUGGCAAGACAAACUGGUUAAAAUGCCCAACCUUUACUCACAUUCAAGAAAACACUCCCAACAAGAUUGAUUACUCAAAAAUCUAAGAGGCAUUGUCCUCCGAAUCUCGAGAGCCAGACUCCCAACAGGAUUACUUUCUCAAAAAUCAAAGAGACACUGCUCUCCGAAUCUCAAGAGUCAGACUUCCAACAUGAUUGCUUUCUCAAAAAUCGAAGAGGCACCGUUCUCUGAAUCUCGAGAGCCAGACUUCUAACAUGAUUACUUGCUAAAAAAUCGAAGAGGCAAUCGAAGAGGCCCUGAAUCUCGAGAGUUAGACUCCCCCAACUCUCAAACAGAUGACUUUUCUUUCUCAAAAAAAUCGAAAAGAGGCACCGUUCUCUGAAUCUCGAGAGUUAGAUCCCCAACAGGAUUGCUUGUUCGAAAACUGAAGAGGCACCACUCUCCGAACUUCGAGAGCCAGAUUUCCUUGGAUAAAGCUUGUCUGCAAUCUUCGCACACUCACACUUCAGAGCUUUCCAGAUCACACAGACCACUUUUUCAAAGUGCUCUGACAAAGUUAAAACAUAUGAAGCUUGCAGCUUCCACUACAUUGCUAUGACCAAGAGAAGGUAAAAAUGAAUAAACACUACUACUUUGUUAGGGAGACUCUUAUAUAUGUCGACCUCCAUCCUCCACAGCUAGGCAGACCUGCAAAUAAAAAAAAUGCUCAACUUUUCUUCACAUCUGAGAGGGCACUCUUAGCAGAGUCUCUCGAAAUACUCAGCUUCUUUUCCUCUUGAUAAUACCUCUGCAAACAAGCCACACCAAAGCAAGAGUAUCUCAUAUCAUCAGGGUUAAAAGCAAGAGUAUCUCAUAUUAUGUUUUUUCCCUGUCUUUUCCUUUGGCCUUAUUCUUACCUGCAAGACAAGGAGAAAGAGAGCAAUCAGUCAGCACUUGGAAUCAAGCUUCCAGUCAGGAAUUGUCUGCCUAGAACCCCUUGCCUGAUUACUUACUUGGAAUUGCUCUCAAGUACCCAUCUUCAACAUCUUAUGCUUCUAGAGAAGAUAACACAUCUGCCUGAGGAACAGAUAGGGCAAUUGAGAAGGAUACAAGGAAGCAUAUGGAGAUAAGCGUAACAGAACAUGUGCCAAUACAUCCACUACUUUGUCAACAGCAAAAGUAUCCCAUAUCAUCAGGGUCGAACGUACUAUAGAUUGGAUGAACUUGUUUUGAUCCUCAAAUUCUUGAGUUUGCCUUAUACUCUGGAGGAAACCAGAAAACCUUCCAGCCGAGUUCAAGAUAACCCUGUGGAAAGUUACUUCUUCAAAAGAAAAAGUAUCUCAUAUCAUCUCUUUUCUAUUUGCUUCUCCUUAUCCUUGUUGCUGUUUACAACACAAGGAGAAGGAGAACAAUCAACCGGAAGUCGAAGUCGAACCUCCGAUCCAGGUUGCUUGCUUGGAAGUCUGAUUGCAUACCUUGUCUGUUAGCUCUUUCGACAAAUCUCUUGGCUCGGCGACUUGAGGGACUCCUACUACAUGGUUUAUAUCGCGCUUGACCAAGCCUGAAACUACAAGUAAGCUUCAAGUCAAAUUGAUACAUUACCUUGUGCAUCUCCACUGGUUAAAGAUACCACCCCUGGAUGGAGGAAAAGUACUUCUAGAGAAGAUGCCACAUCUACCUAUGAGACAGAUAAGGCAAGUGAAGACGAUACCACACUUCGGUACUUAGAAGUUUUGUGAUUACUCAGUGGCUUGGAUCUUGCAAGUCCCCAACCGAGGAGCUUCCCUUACUUGGGAACUUAGGGGAGCACUGUUUGUACCAUACUUAACCAAUCCCGAAACUACUGAGCAUCGAUCAACGUUAUACCGUCAAGGACCCAGAAGAGUUUCCCUCCAACCAGGAGGCCAAUCAUAGCGCGACACGUGUCAACAACAGAAGCCAAUCACAACAUAACACGUGUCUAUGUUAGAAUGAAACUAGAAACUCUCUUAUAUAAAUAGAGAUCAUUCUCUCACAAUAUUUCCUAAUGUCAUUGUACUAAAUCAUUCACUAGUACUCACUAAAGGAAAGCUUGAACCUAUGUACUUGUGUAAACCCUUCACAAUUAAUGAGAACUCCUCUACUCCAUGGACGUAGCCAAUUUGGGUGAACCAUGUACAUCUUAUGUUUGCUUCCAUGUCCCUAUCCAUUUACAUACUUAUCCACACUAGUGACCGGAGUAAUCUAGCGAAUGUCACAAACUUAACACUUUCUGUUGUACCAGAGUCCUCACUGAUUUUGUGUAUCAACAUUUGAGAUCUGCAUGCUAUUCAAUAAUAACGAUGGGUCAUUGUUUCUGGACUGUAAAAAUAAUUGUUUCUGGAUUUUAAGUUACACUGUUUUUGGAAUCUAAGUCACUGUUUCUUAAAUAUAAGCUAGAAAAGAAAUAGUGAAAUUCAUUGUAUUUGGAUUCAAAACAAAAUAAGCACCUUGUUUCUUAAAUAUAAUCAACUAAUGCAUGAAAGAAAAGAAACAGUUAAAGAUUAAAACAUAGACUGUUUAUGGAAUUUAAGACGCUGUGUUUGAAUUUUGGUUCUUUUCUUUCCAGAUAUAGUGUUUGUUUGUGCACAGACAAAACAAACAUUGUAUCUGAUUUUUUUUUUCUUCCAAAAAUAGUGUUAUGUUUUGGGUUCUUCAGAAACAGUUUUAUGUUUUGGUUCUUUUUUUUUCUAGACACUUUUCCACCAGUUUCUGCCAUUAAACUUCUUUGAACUUGUUUUGGCGGCUCGUUCUUAUGAAUGCUUCAUUUUUCAACUUUGAUUUGGUUAUUUUUGAAAUGGAGGAAUUCAAUUUGAUAGGAAGAUAGGGAGUUAUUAUAGCGGUUUCGUGCUGGGUUGAGGUUGGUGAAGAGUUAGGACAAUAUCAAAUCAUUUAGGGGUAUUUACAGAAGUGUAGAUUUGUAGCGGGUUGGGCUUGUAAGUUUGACCUGUUAACAAUAGUUUUGGAUGAUUUUUUAUUAAACUUUGAGCCAUUUUGGUUAAAUAACAUUUUGAGAUGGUUUUUUGUUAAAUAUUUGUUGGCCAAGCCAUUUCAUUAAAGCUCCAUUGAUUUUUCUGUUUUGAAAAAAUGAAAACUAAUUAAAAGGGCUUGAAAACUUUGAGUUUUAAUGAUAAGGACAAAAUAAAGGCUAAAGUGAAUGGUACCAUGUUUGACUUUUUAGUGUAAAAAUGUGAUUUUUCGUUAAAGUGAACAGUAGCAUGAACUUUUCGUUAAAACUCCCUUUAAAAAAUGGGUCCAUACCAUUUACAUUUAAGAGGGCUCCAUACCAAAUUAGGAAUCUUCUUUGCCGACCUUGAUUUUUUUUUUAAUUUUUUAAUUUUUUUUUUUUUAUAAUCAUGACAAACAAAAACUAACUCCGAACAUAUUUCACGUGUAAUUAUUUUGGCUUGGCUUAUAAGUGAAGGGGCCAAUCAAAAUAUAUCAUUAGGUUUAGAAGAUCGCAAUUCAAGGUAAGCAUAUAGAAACUAUGAGUUUAAUCUUUUUUAAUUCGGUAAAUUUGAAUUUAUAUUUUAUUGUUGUAGAUAUAUUUUGGUAGGUCUGUUAUUUUUUGGUUUCUAUAUAUAGAUGUCUAUAAGUGAUGACAUGACAAUAUCUUUAAGAAUUAAUUAUUAAAAAGGACAAAUUUUAUGAUCGUUAUGCAUUAAAAGACAUAUAAAUUGAAAGGCCUCCCAACAAUAGGUCGCCUAGGCCGCAAAAUAUCUGGCUGGCCCUAUGAAUAAAGAGUUGGAGCUCUCAAUUUGAGUUCGAACUUAUUUGAAUAUGAUUAUGAUAACAUGAUUUCCAUAAUAUGUAUGAUUAUGUGUGAAGGUAUACCAUAUCAUUGGUUUACUGAUAUAUACAUAGUCGUAGUGGAAGUAAGUUAAUUAUUUAAUAAAGUAAAUAAUUUAAUUAAUUAAUUCUAGAAAAUAUGUCUGAUGGAAUAUAACUAAAACAUUAUAUCUUUCGACAGAAGUUACAACUUCUCCUGAAAUGAUAUGAACUCUCUAUAUAUACUUUAAAGCCGUUGCUAGAGAAUUACUCCAACAAUAAUGUAUUUUUGCUUCUCUCUGACUCAUAUCUUCCACACUACAUUGCGAUCGACGGUUUAACAACCUUGGUUUCUGGUCCUUUUAAUCCACUAUUUCUAUGCUCUCGUAGAUGUAUUUUUUUGAGUCACCAGCUUUGCUUUGACAUACUGUGAGACCAAAGGUUUUCUACCACCUUAAGUACCGAAGCAGCAUAGAAGAAGAGAUAUUAGUCUGUCAUCAAUGUAUGCUGGAAUACCUCUUAUAUUGAAAAUAAAAUAAAAAUAAACUUCCAUGCAUGCAUCCUGCUACUUUAAUCUUGUUUUUGGACCACAAUGGAAAACAAAAGAUGAUUCUUUUCACUUCUAUUAUGCAGCAGCAUCAAGUAUUUUCUGUAAAGUAUAAAACACUUUGUUCUAAGUCUUCCUCAAAAGGAAGAAGAUCUAGCAACUUAAAAGCCACGUAGAAUUAAAGGCUUUGGAGACAAAUGAAAUCAACUUCUAUAUCUUGUUCUUGGUGGCCUCAACAAUGAACACCCUUCAUCCUAUACUUCCGUCUUCUAUUAUUUAUUUAUUAAUGGGAAGUUUGUUAUUUUUGUAAUUGUAAAGUAUGAACGUAUAUAUGUUGAUGAACAAGAUAAUAUGAAAAUUUUAUGAGAUUGUAAAAUCAAAUAUAAUGCAUAUUGAAGGAUUCCACUACUAAUCAUUGUUGUGACUUGUGAGUUGUGUUUUAUUUGGAAAGAAAUGAAUAUUCAGAAAUUUUCAAAAUACAUUUUAACUUGGCAUCAAAACAUGUUAUUCUUCUAAUAAAUCACGAUUUGAUUUAUUGGGCUUAAAUUUACUUUCUUAACUUGAGCUCUCAAAAAGUUGCACUAGCUCCAACUUUGGAUAUUAGUGUUUUCUUAAAAAGACACAAGAUCUGAAUAAUUUUGUUUAACCACUCAACUAGUUGGGACAAGUACGCUUUUAAUAUUGAUUAGUAGUGAGUUGUUGGACUGAUUGUAAGCUUCUAAUAAACCAUGUUACUAGUGACAAAUAUGAACAUCAUGUGAGUGGCAUGAUAGGACAAGUUCAUUGCGAGUGUAUUGGACUAAAGCACACUUGAUGGGCUGCCGCCCUAAAUUUGAUUUUGGGGCACCUUUGGGUGGGAAACAAUCUCAUCAUCUUAUCUUAUCCACAUUCAACAGCCCAAUUACAAAAACAAACCGCACCGAAUGGGACCCUAUUCUUUGCCCCAAUAGCCUACAACCCAAAACCUAAAUUAUUAUUUAAAAAAAAAUUGUUGGAAUAUUAUAUGCUAUAUUUAAAUGGAAAACUAACCAAAACACCCUCAAAAAUUUUAUUUUAAUCAUAAGGACAAAACAAUUCAAUAAUACCCAAAAUGGGCAUGUAAAAGAAGACAAGGGAAAGAGUAUUUUAAAAGAAAAAGCAUUUUAGGGAUAUCACAUGCAAAAGUUGGCCAUUAGGAGACAAACCAUGCAACAAAUUCAGAUGUAAAAGGAGACAAGCAAGUUCACAUGCAUUAUGCCACCUUUCAGAAACAGUGCUAACAAUUUCAACACCAGUAGAAGCAUAAUGAUAAAUGACAAGUACCAAAGAAGUGUCCACACCGUUUAUUUAUAAUUUUAAUAUCAUUGUAUCCUGAUUCAGUCUAUAUAAGUGAAGUUUCAUUCAUUGUAAAGACACACCUUCACCACUCAACAUCUGAACACCCUACUCUCACACCAUCUUCAUACUCUCAAGCAUUCGUAGCCUUCAUAGCAUCCUUGUAAAUAUCUCCUUGUAAUCACUUUUUUGUAAACAACUAUCUCUGUAAACAUUCCAUAUAUCAAUAAAAGUUCAAGUGUACAUAUUCAAGCAAUCUCCAAGUCUUAAGUAAGUUUUCUUUUCCUUCUUUAGUGUGUUUGUUUAAUUAGACUUCUAGUCCAAAACAGGAAACACUAUUGUGGUUAUAUUAUUAACUUGCUAAACUGACGAUCAUACUUUGUUUGAGCACUCUGUUAUAGUUGAAUGCUUGCCAUACAAAUAACUGGACAUUAACUAGGGUACCUCUGAGUUCUUCGUACCUCUAACUUCAACCGUUAAGGCCUUAUACUUGUACUGUGAGUGGCCGUCAUGCUGAAACAUGUCGAGUUCCAUGUGCAAGGUUCUAUGUCUAGUUAUUAUAAUGACCAUCCGACUAUUUAACCGAGCAUGCAUUGCGAAUUUGGUAUCAGAGCCAUGUUUAGCAUUUUAAUAGUAUAAUUAUAAUAGGAAAGUACCUUGAGGAUGGAAGUCAUUGAUACAAUUGAUAUCACACUUGUUUAUUUUGUAUGAAUAACAGAUAUUAUUGUCCCUGUAGACCCUGACAAUUACCAGGUAUUUAUUUUCUCAGGCAUCCAACUGUAACUAGCAUAAAGAGAAGAUUAGCAUAUAUAUCCAAAAUAAUUAUCAGUACUUUGAAGAAGCAAAAGUUUUAUCUUGGUUAUAUUGAACAUCUUUCAUUUAUUCUUAAAUAUAAUAACACAAAAGUGCAUCAUAAAGUCUUAGAAGCGAAAAGAGCAACAGAUCGAGUUUUAGAGACAUUGAAAGAAAAAAGAGAGUUUAUAAGAAACUAGUUAGCCGUAACUCUAGAGAAAGGUAGACUAUAGUUUAUGAUAGAUUAUCUUAAUUUAGAAAUUAGUGAACCUCAAAAAUGAAAAAUAACUUUAGACCAAAAUAGUUUAGUUUGUUAUUUUCCAUUGAGAAAGCAUAAUCAUAUUUUGCAUAGUGAAAAAAAUCCACAAGCCAAUAGUAUUAUAGAUUUUAUUAUUAGUCAAGCAGAAAAUAUAAAAUUAGAAAAUAAUAAGCAUAAUCAUUUGUUAAACUAGUUGUUAGAGCAUUUUCAGAAAAAUUCCAUAAAAAUAAUUAGACAAAAUUUAGAUUAUAUUACAUCUCAGUUAGAAGAUAAUAAUAAAAAUAUUCAAAGGUUUCCUAGCAAAAGAAAGAUAAAAGAGCUUGUUGACCUCAUAGAUAGUAAGCCGAAGUAAGUAGAGUUUAGAUCAUUAUAAAUAGUUGAGUAGCUAAAAUUAGAAGUUCAAAAAAAUUCAAUUAGUAUAAAAAUAGUUAAGUGAACAAGUAGAUAAGUUGCAUAAUAAAAUAGAUAAAUUAUUAGUUUAAUGACCGAUUAUAGAACUAGCAGAAAAUAUAUCCAAGCUUUGAAAGAAAUUAGUAAGUUAGAUAAAAAACCAGUAGGUUUAACAGAUUUUUCAACACAAGUAUCCAGUACUAAUAUUGACACACCCCGUCCCGAAGGAGGGCAUGCUGGCCGUCACGUGAGAGUGACGUAACCAUUUGCACAGUACGGAAGCUUUAAGAUACAAUUUAUAAGUUGAUACACCCGAAGGGAGUCCUAAUUUUGUCCAAUCUGUCAGAACACCGUCGAAUUCCUCGUAGCCACCACACCUCAGCUAUUCUUUAACCUGGAGGGGCGCAAAACCAAAAUUGAGUGGGUCAGUAAAACAAUUCUUUUCAAAUCCAAUUUUUUCUCAAAGCAUUGUAACCCCUCUCCGUAAAACCUGUAUACUUUCCCAGAAAUGUAAAAUAUAAAUAUACAUAUAUAUUCUCAAAACUUCAUUUUUACUAUCUCAACAUUUUUCUUUAUCAAUCAUGCCAUGCCAUGUCUAAUUCAACAGUUAAGUAUGGAUGCAUCAACAAUAAUCAUAUCAGGUACAAGAAAGUAAUCAACCGGAGGCCCUCUAAUAGCCUUGUACGGUUGAACCUAGAGCUCAAAAUCUAUAAUUCUCACACUCUGCCGGAGUCACUCCGCGUGACCUGUACGGCCUUCUGCACACAAGUUACGCUCUAGUGCUUCUCAUAAAUCAUCUGUGCACAUAAUCUAAGGUCACCCACCAGUCGGAAUCUCACUAACACUCUCGCGACUGGCCUGUCGUACCCACUCCGCGUGGACUGUACGACUAGCAUCUACUUGGAUCCAAGACGAGCGUGCGAUGCGGUGAAUACUAUAAGCACUAAACUAUGGUGCAGGAUUUGAGCUCAAUAUACAUCAACAUCAUCAUAACAGAAAUAAAUACUCACUUGUGCGUCCACCGCACCAUUUCAUACAUAUGCAUCAUAAAUCAAUUCUUACCUGUGCGUCCACCGCACCAAUUCAUAUAUAUGCAUCAUAUAUUAAUUCAUGCAUGGCAGUUCAACUCACAUUUCUAUAUACUUUUCAUAUCAAUUCUAUUUCUGGGAAACGUCAAUUAUAUAUAUAUAUACGGAAAACAAAACUGCCCACUCACCUGGAGUUCGUCCAACAACUCCCUAGCACCACACAUCAAGGCGUCAUGACGAUCGCCGCCUAGAAUAGUAAUCAAAUCCAACCUCAGAAUUCAUAUCGAUAGAAUAUAUAACUUAUAUAAAAUACGUCACUACGUAGUUCGAUCCGGAAGAUCUGCCACUCAGAUUUUAAAUCCAUAACUUCCAGAGGUCCACAUAUAUCUCUAGGACAACAUCCUAAAAUUUCAUCACCAACCAACGGUCGGAUCUCCGUCAAUUUCCAAAACUAAGUGACGGUUAACAUUUUAUAUUAUGGACUUACAAUUCCAAUUCCGGAAGAUCCGUAACUCGGAUUCCCAAUCCGUAAGUUCCAAUAAUCCUCGAAUAUUACGUAUUACAACGUAUCAAAGUUUGGUAACGAUCCAACGGUCGGAUCGUCAAUUCACAUUUUUACCUAAAUGUGAAAACUAUAAAACGUUAUUCGAACACCUAACCAACAAUCCUUAAUAACUUUCUCAUACGGUGCUCAAUUUGGGUAUAUGAAUAUACCACGGUGAUCUACUCGACGUCACGGACGUCGACAUAUUUUUUAAAAUAAUUUUAUUUUUAUUUAUUUUAUUUUUUACUGUAGCACCUUCUUCUUCCUUGGGUCGCCGGACUGGUUUUUCCGGCGGCCGUUUUCCGGGCAGUUUUUCAAAUUGCCAUAACUUUGUCAUUUCUCAACGAAAUCAAGUGAUUCAAAAACGAGAGUUGUAGCCCUUGAAGAGACAAAGAGAAUGGUACCUUGCACAACACCUAGUCGCCGUGGUUUGGCCGGAAACUGCCUCGAAAGCCUCGGAGGUCGCCGGAAACUGGGUAUUUUUCAAAUGAGUAUAACUUCUUCAAUACUCAACGAAAUUGAGUGAAACAAAAAGGAAAGUUGUAGUACUUGACGAGACGAAGAGAUUGAUACCUACCUCGACUCCUAACUCGCCGGGGAUUCGCCGGAAAGAGCCUCGAAAGUUCCGGCCAAACUUUGAACUUGUCGAUCUCCGUGUUCUUACGUCCAAAAACUUCUAACGAAGCACUCCGAGCUUCCUUGGGACCUCACUAAGCUCACUAUGAGCUUGGAUUGUCCUAAAAAUCAACCAAUUCAAAGCUCAUGAACAGUACACUUUCAUGGGGAGUUUAGAAUCUAGGUUUUCCGAAGUAAAACUUACCUGAAAUGGAUACCAACGUGAUCGUGAAGUCCUCAGGAUUCCAAUGGUGGUCUCAACUCUGUCGUUGGUGGAAGUUUAGGGUGGUUUUGUGGUGGUCUUGGUGGUUGCCGUAUGUUCGAGAGGGUGAGAGAGAGAGAGAUCUGAUAUGGAAGAAGAAGAGAGAAGGAAAGGUUACGGGUUUUAGGGAGUGCUUUGAGGUAUGAGGAUCCCACCUUAACCCAAACACUACAUUACAACCUAGUUUUAGUCCCUAACACAAAUUAACCAUAGUUUAGGAACUUUAAAUAAAACAAAUGUCAUCUCUUUACACACCUUAAUCUCGUUUAAGGUCAUUUUUGAAAUUUCACGUCCUCGGAAUGAAAAAUCCCGGGACGGGCUGUGACAAAUAUUCCAUUAGGCAAAAUAAUUUGAUUAUUCAAUUAGUUUUAAGUUUGGCUGAAAUAUUAGAUCAAGUUGAAGAACAAAUAGCAGAAAUAAACCAAGUUUUACAUAACGCAUCUUCAUUAAUUCCACCAUCCUUGCUAGAUAAAUUAGAAAAUUUAACUUUAAGUGCAAAUAAUAAUAGAAGACCUAAGCUAAAUCCUUUUGAUAAUAGAAAAUGGAACUCUUUAGGAAAAAAAGAAAAGAAGUAGUUAGAGCUGAAGAUAUUUAUCCUAAUGAAGAAGAAGCAUAAGAAUUUAUUCGAAGAGGUUUUGAGAGAACACAGAAAAAAAAAUAUAACCUGUACCAAUUAGGUUUAUUUGAAAAUAGAAGCAUAAUUGUAAGUAGCAUCAGUUAACAUGAAGUUAGCUGUAUUGAUAAAGAAGUCACACUUAAUCUAAUUAGUAAAGAAGCAAUUACUCAUUUGAGAAAAUCACAUUUUAGUCAGAUUCAUGUAGGAACAAAUUAAUUGGAAUAGUAGGAUUAACUAAAGCACAAGUAGGCACAAAAGCAUUAGUAUACAUAUAUAUGAUGAUAGAUGGGAUAAUCACCAAUAAGCAGCAAUAGCAACAGCUGAAGUAGACUUAAGUUCAAACUUAGCAGUCAUAGGUUGUAAUCCAAAUUAUGUUAUGACAAUCAAUGAAUUUAGUAAAUAUAUUAAAGUAAGCAUAAGAACAAAAAAUUAUAAUAUGAAAGGAGAGUAUAAAAAUUUGUGUAUUAGCCCGUCCUGAAUAACUAAUUUUUCGUUGAUGUGAAAUGACAAUUUCGCCCUUGGACGUUAAACUGCGUGGUGUGUGAUUUGUUUUGAAAUGGGAUUAAUUGAGUUUCCAUAAGUUUUUGGAACCAUUUAGGAACUAAGAAACCUUGGUUAUGAUUGAAUGUUGACUAGUUAUGGACCACACACAUCACCUCUCCCUUCUGUCUCUUCUUCCCGUGCUCUAUCUCAUCUCUCAGACUCUCUCUCUCUCUUUCUUCUUGUACGGACAAACACCAAGGACCUCUUAAACUUCACUGAUUAAGGAAGAAAAUGGUACCAUUGUUUUCGUGAAGCCCAGACAAGUCGAUUGGUACCCAUUUCAGGUAAGAAUACCUUUGAAAACCCUAUUUUUCCAUAACCCCCGAUUUGUGCACUGUUCAUGCACAUGUAAUUAUGGAUGUUUUUGGGAAUUUGAAGCUUGUGGGAAGCUUAGUGAGGUCCCAAGGAAGCUCGAAGUGCUUCGUUUGAAGGUUUUGGACGUUGGGAUCGUGUGAACGAAGUUUGGCCGAUUCUCUUGGAAUUCUCCGGUGAGGUUUCGUGACUUUUAGAACUUUAAAUUAGUAUGAUUGUGUUCUACAAGUUAAGAGCUUCAUUUUGGUAUAAAAUACGUGAAAAAUGGUGCAAAAACGAGUGAGAAAUGGGCAGUUGCAGGUCUGCCCAGAAUCCAACGCCGGUGACAUAGUUCUGGCGUCUGAAGGUUGAAGGUGAUGCACGUGAGGGCGGGUGAGGUUGUGCCCUCCCCGGGGCGUGAGAGCACGUGAGCCAUAGGAAAUUUUUUCUAAAAAUAUCACGAUGUUCAUGAGGUUGUGUAGAUCACUGUGGUAUAUUUAUAUACCCAAUUUGAGCAAUGUAUGAGAAGUUAUUAGCUAGUUUUGUAUAUGUGCUUUAAAAUAACUUUUUUAUAGUUAAUUCGCAUAUAGGUGAGACCUAUCCAGAGGACGAGCGUAUCCACAGGCGACUCGGGGGCUACGACCCUUCGACAUACCAGUGAGUGGGCUUUUGUUUUCAGUAUAUAUUUAUAUACUUGAUAUAUUUCCUAGAAAUGCAUUUUAAGGAAAGUAUGCUUUGAAAUAAUAUGUCAAAUGCGUUUAUAUUCCGAAUAUGAAUUUCAUGGUUGCAUAUAUAUAUAAAUAUGGUGCUGUGGAGGCACAGGUAAAUUUAGGUAAGUUAUGUUUGGCUAUGUGAAUCAUCGAUGAUGUGAUAUGUGAAAUGAUGUUGAGCUCAUAAAACUCCUAGGGUGAUUGAGAUUUAGCCAGAGAUAUAAAGUAUAGGCCUGUUUAUGUACGUCACCUCCCGCACUAUAUGCUCAUAUUGGAUCCAACUUAAGUGAACAGUCUUGUCGUACAGACCUUAUUCAUGGUUUCGAUUCGUAGGUGAUUAUCGAUUUAUCGCCCGACUAUUAUGAGAGAAUAGAGUUGAGCAUAAUUGUAUUUCACCCAAUCUUGUCGUAUAGACCCUUUUUGGUGGUUCCGACGUAUGUGCAGUAUAUUGCUGUAUAGGUCAUUGUAGUGACUCCGGCUGGAUUGACUUUUGAGCUAUGAAUUCAGCUGUACAAACCACCAUAGGGGUUCCAGCUAACAUAUCAUCUUUCUAUGAAAUCAUUCUUACCUGGAUUGUUUACUUGGUUACAUUUUGGUAUAGCAUACAUUUGAAUAUGAUUAUGUGAAGCAUGAAUUGAAUUGAUAUGAUUAUAUAUAUAUAUAUAUAUAUAUAUAUCUAUAUUAUGUAUAUGCUUAUAUCUUGAUUCUGGGAAAAAUAUACAUGUUUUACAGCGAGGGGUUAGUAUGUUGAUAAAUGAAAUGAUUUUGUAAAACAUUUGUUUUUGCCCAUUCACGUUUUCUGUUUUACGCCCCUCCAUGUUUUAAGUAAGCUUGCUGUUGGUGGCUUGAGGAUGUCGGCAGUUCUGACUUAUCAAAAUAAUAGUAGGACAUUCCUGGUAUUGUAUAAUUAAUACUUGUCCUACUGGACUACACCUAGACUUUUAUGCUCUGAUUAGGAGUGCUUACUGUUGUAACUAACUUCUAUCAAUUUUUGUUUAGUAGUGCACUCUAGUAAUUUGGUUUUUAAUUAUUUCGUAUAUUUCUUAUCUCAUUGCUUCCGCACUGUGCACAUGGCUCACUCUCACGUGAGGGCCAACAUGCCUUGAUCUCGGUUGGGGUGUGUCAGUUUGGUAUCAGAGCCUAAGUUUAGCAGUCCUGUGUAAUUCUUGAAUGUUCUAAUCCUUGUGAUGUCUUAUGUUAGAACUAUACCGCCUCGUAGAAAGCCCCGUCAAUCAGCUGAAUCUAGUUUCCCUGAUAUUGCUCAAUUAGGGGAAGCUAUAGUUUUUGCCAUUCAGACAGCAUUCCGUACUCCCUAGAGGACACCUCUUGAGACAGUUCAUAAUCUGAAAUUGACUCACUUCAUGGGUAAUGAAGGUCAUGAGGGGGCAGAAAAAUGGCUGAAUCAUGUGGAGAAGACCUUUCAGGUGAUGCAGAGUUAGGGGAAUCUUUUUUCUGAUAGGUGGGUUGAGAUGACUACCUUGUUUUUGGGAGAACAACUUGCAUCUUGGUGGAGACAGGAGUCUUACUAGAUGGCCCCGUAAGAGAUUGUAGACUAGGACGUGUUUAAGGAACGGUUUCAGAAAAGGUUCAUUCCUUCUGCAUAUAUCGAUCUUAAGAAACAGGAGUUUACUCAUUUGAGGUAAGGAAAGAUGUCCGUUAAUGAGUAUUACAGGAUGUUUACUGAUCUAUCGAGAUACCACCCGAAGUUUGCUGCUAGUCCAGUAGAGAUGCUUUGCCAUUUCAGUUUGGGUAGUAAGAAGAAAUGGCGUUCCAUAGCGACAUUGACUGACUGUGCCUCUUACCAGGAGUUCUAUGAGAUUUUAUUGAGGAUUGAGGCCUCAGAGAACAUGCCUAGUGAAAGUGAAGAUGAGGAAGGAAAGAAUGGGGGCCAGAGACGAGAUGACAAAGGAAAAGGGCAAGCAUUUCAGGGACCCUGCAAGACCUAGAACUUUAAGAGGAAUGUCGGUAAUUCCAGCUCUUCAAGCGGAUGAUUUAGUACUAAUAUGCAGAGGAGAGGUGGUAGAUUUACUAGAGGUCCGAGGUUCCAGAGACAGAAAGAUUUUGGUGGUCCAGGUGGAUUUGGUGCUCCCUUAUGCCGCAGGUGUAAUAAUCGGCAUUUUGGGAGUGUAAGAGAGGCAGCAAUGGAUGUUUUACUUGUGGAAAGAUGCGUCAUAGGGCUGCUCAAUGCCCUCAGAGUCAGCAGAGAUCCCAGCAGCCUUCCUUCCCACCACCUGCACCUACCCAACACACUUCAGGAUCUAGUGGUUAUACUCAGACUGGACGAGGAAGUGCCUACCAUUAUCAGGGUGACGCCGCUCCCUACACCUCAGGAUAACAGCAGUAUUCUCAGGAUCCUCAGUAUCAGAGUGGGUACCCUCAGUAUCAGGGAUUGAUUGUGGUGCUACACAUUCUGUUAUUUCUCAUACAUUUGCUCAAGUGACACAACCUCAUCCUACACCUCUAGGAUAUAAUUUAGAAUUUUCUAUGCCUACAGGGGAUAGCUGUUUUGUGGAUCGGGUAUAUCCAGGACGUCCAGUGAUAGUAGAGAAUAUUAUUAUGCCGGCUAAUCUUAUGCCGUUGGAUAUUAUGGAUUUUGAUGUGAUUUUGGGCACUGAUUGGUUGCACUAUAAUCGUGCCAAGAUAGAAUGUUAUGGGAAGACAGUCACAUUUCACUGUCCUGGAUUACCUGAAGUUACAUUUGUAGGAGAGCCUAGUGGGGUGAGGCAUGGUAUUAUUUCAGCCAUGAAAGCAAAUAGAUUGUUGUCGAAAGGUUGUCAGGGAUAUUUGGCUCAUGUGGUGUUGAACGAUGAUGCUCCUAAUAGUGUGGAGGAUGUUCGUGUGGUCAGAUAUUUUCCAGAUGUAUUCCCUGAGGAUUUGCCUGGAUUACCGCCAGAUAGAGAGGUGGAGUUUGUUAUUGAUCUGCUUCCAGGUAUGAAUCCCAUAUCCUUAACUCCUUAUAGAAUGGCUCCUGCUGAAUUAAGGGAAUUGAAAGUGCAGUUACAAGAGUUAGUGGACAAAAGGUUUUAUUCAGCCUAGUACUUCACCUUGGGGAGCUCUAGUGUUAUUUGUGAGGAAGAAAGAUGGAACUUUGAGGCUGUGCAUUGAUUACAGGCAAUUGAAUCGAGUAACCAUUAAGAACCGUUAUCUAUUGCCUCGUAUAGAUGAUUUAUUUGAUCAACUCAGAGGUGCCUGCGUAUUUUCUAAGAUUCACUUGAGGUCGGGAUACUAUCAGUUGAAGAUUAAAAAUGAAGAUGCCCCUAAAACCGCAUUCAGGACUCGAUAUGGUCAUUAUGAGUUUCUUGUGAUGCCAUUCAGGUUAACUAAUGCAUCAACAGCUUUUAUGGAUUUGAUGAAUCGAGUAUUCCAGCCAUAUUUGGACAGGGUUUGUUAUUGUCUUCAUUGACGAUAUUCUGGUAUACUCUAAGUCUAAGGUUGAGCAUGUUAGACAUUUGAAGUUGGUGCUGAGUAGUUUGAGGGAACACCAACUGUAUGCUAAGUUUAGCAAAUGUGAAUUUUGGUUGAAUCAAGUGGCAUUUUUGGGACACGUCAUUUCUGCUCAAGGCAUUCAAGUGAAUUCUCAGAAAGUUACCGCUAUGGAGAAUUGGGAGCAACCUCGAACUGUCAUUGAGGUACGGAGUUUUCUUGGCCUAGCAGGCUACUAUAGAUGGUUCGUUAAGGAUUUUUCAGUGAUUGCUCUGCCAUUGACGAGGUUGACUUGAAAGGAUGUUAAGUUUGAGUGGGAUAAUAAAUGUGAGCAAAGUUUCCAACAGCUGAAGUACUACUUCACUCAUGCACCUGUUCUAGUACUUCCUGAUGAUAACGGUAAUUAUGAGGUUUAUAGUGAUGUUUCUUUGAAUGGUUUGGGUUGCGUAUUGAUGCAACAUGGUAGAGUAAUUGUUUAUGGUUCAAGACAGUUGAAACCUCAUGAGAAGAAUUACCCUACAUAUGAUUUGGAGUUAGCAGCUAUCAUCUUUACUUUGAAAAUUUGGAGACAUUAUCUUUAUGGUGAGAAAUGUAAGAUCUUCACAGAUCAUAAGAGUCUCCAGUAUCUGUUUACUCAGAGAGAUCUUAAUCUUCAUCAGCGGAGGUGGAUUGAGUUACUUAGUGACUAUGAUUGCACGAUCGAGUAUCAUCCUGGUCGUGCAAAUGCAGUGGCGGAUGCACUGAGUAGAAAGACUCCAGCUAGACUUAAUGCUAUUUAUGAUUGUCAUGUUCCUCUCCUAGCAGAUAUGAGGUCCAUUGGAGUGGAGCUAGGAGUGGAAGAUCGAGAAGAAGCCUUGCUUGCUAAUUUUCAGGUUAGGCUAGUUUUAAUUGGUCGUGUACUUGAGACUCAGAUGAAUGAUGAAGAGACCCAGGAAAUAAUUCAAGCAAGAAAUCAAGGAAAAAAGAAAGAUUUCGAGAUUCAUGAAACUGAUGGCAUGCUUAUGCAGGAAAGCAGGAUGUAUGUACCGAAAAAUGCAGAGUUAAAGAAAGAAAUUUUGGAUGAAGCACAUAUUUCGACAUAUGCAAUGCAUCCAUGCGGCACUAAGAUGUAUCAUACCAUUAAACCAUUUUAUUAUUGGCCGGGUAUGAAAAGAGAAAUUACCGAAUGUGUGAGUAGGUGUGCCAUUUGCCAAUAGGUUAAAGCCGAAAGGAAGAAGUCGUUUGGGUUGAUGCAACCACUUCCCGUUCCACAGUGGAAAUGGGAAAAUAUUACUAUGGAUUUUGUGUACAAGCUCCCUCGUACACAGAAUGGUUGUGAUGGCAUCUGGGUGGUAGUUGAUUGGCUUACGAAGUCAGUGCAUUUUAUUCCAGUGAGGGAGAAGUAUUUGCUAAGCCGAUUAGCUAAGUUAUUUAUAUCACAAAUUGUGAAGUAUCAUGGUGUGCCAAUUAAUAUUAUCUCAAAUCGGGAUCCUAGAUUUACUUCCAAGUUCUAGAUAGCAUUCCAUGAAGCUUUUGGUACGAGAUUACUUUAUAGUAUGGCAUAUCAUCCUCAUACAGAUUGACAAUCUGAGAGGACCAUUCAGACAUUAGAGGAUAUGUUGAGAUCUUCAGUGCUAUAGUUUGGAGAUAGUUGGCAUGAUUGUUUGGAUUUGAUAGAGUUUGCCUACGACAACAGUUAUCAUUCGAGCAUUGGUAUGGCACCAUUUGAGGCACUUUAUGGGAAAUAUUGUCGUACACCUCUAUAUUGGUCAGAUGUUGGCGAAAGAGGUUUAGUGGGCCCUGAGAUUGUGGAUGUGACUACUCAAAAUGUUCAGGUAAUUAAGUCUAACCUGAAAGCGGCCCAAGAUCGACAGAAGAGCUUAGCAGACAAGCAUGCCACUGAUCGGAAAUAUGAUGUAGGCGAUUGGGUAUUUCUGAAGCUAUCACCUUGGAAAGGUGUAGUACGAUUUGGAAAGAAAGGAAAGUUGAGUCCUAGGUUCAUUGGACCAUAUAUGAUCACCGAGCGAGUUGGUGAGGUUACUUACAGGCUUGAGUUGCCUCCAGAGUUAUCCAAGUUGUACGAUGUAUUUCAUGUUUCGAUGCUUCGACAUUAAAUUUCAGAUCCUUCACAUGUGAUUCCUCCUCAACCUUUGGAAAUAAAUUCGGACUUGACUUAUGAUGAGGAGCCAGUGACUCUGUUGGAUUGGAAGGAUAAGGAACUAAGGAACAAGACCAUGUGGUUGGUGAAGGUAUUAUGGAGAAAUCAUUCAGUGGAAGAAGCUACUUGGGAGACAGAAUAUUGAAUGAGAAAGUUAUCCACGCUUGUUUUAUGAUUAUUAGUGGAGGUAUUUGUUAUGUAUAAUUUCGAGUAUGAAAUUUUAUAAGGUAGGGAGAUUGUCACAGCCCGUCCCGAAUAACUAAUUUUUUGUUGAUGUGAAAUGACAAUUUUGCCCUUGGACGUUAAAGUGUGUGGUGUGUGAUUUGUUUUGAAAUGGGAUUAAUUGAGUUUCCUUAAGUUUUUGGAACCAUUUAGGAACUAAGAAACCUUGGUUAUGACUGAAUGUUGACUAGUUGUGGACCACACACAUCACCUUUCCCUUAUCUUUCUUCUUCCCGUGCUCUUUCUCAUCUCUCGAACUUUCUCUCUCCUUCUUCUUGUACGAACAAACACCAAUGACCUCUCAAACCUCACUGAUCGAGGAAGAAAAUGGUAACAUUGUGUUCGUGAAGCUCACACGAGUCGAUUGGUACCCAUUUUAGGUAAGGAGACCUUCGAAAACCCUAGUUUCCCAUAACCCCCGAUUUGUGCACUAUUCAUGCACACGUAAUUAUGAAUGUGUUUGGGAAUUUGAAGCUUGUAGGAAGCUUAGUGAGGUCCCAAGGAAGCUCAGAGUGCUUCGUUUGAAGGUUUUGGACGUCGGGAUCAUGUGGACAAAGUUUGGCCGGUUUUCUUGGAAUUCUCCAGUGAGAUUUCGUGACUUUUAGAACUUUAAAUUAGUAUGAUUGUGUUCUACAAGUUAAGAGCUUCAUUUUGGUAUAAAAUACGUGAAAAAUGGUGCAAAAACGAGUGAGAAAUCAGUAGUUGCAGGUCUGCCCAGAAUACAACGCCGGUGACACAGUUCCGGUGUCUGGAGGUUGAAGGUGAUGCGGGUGAGGGCGCGUGAGGCUGUGCCCUCCCCGAAACGUGAGGGCGCGUGAGCCAUAGGAAAUUUUUUUCUAAAAAUAUCACGAUGUUCGUGAGGUUGUGUAGAUCACUGUGGUAUAUUCAUAUACCCAAUUUGAGCAAUGUAUGAGAAGUUAUUAGUUAGUUUUGUAUAUGUGCUUUAAAAUAACGUUUUUAUAGUUAAUUCGCAUAUAGGUGAGACCUAUCCCAAGGAUGAGCGUAUCCACGGGCGACUCGGGGGUUACGACCCUUCGACAUAUCAGUGAGUGGGCUUUUGUUUUGCAGUAUAUAUUUAUAUACUUGAUAUAUUUCCCAGAAAUGCAUUUUAAGGAAAGUAUGCUUUGAAAUAAUAUGUCAAAUGCGUUUAUAUUCCGAAUAUGCAUUUCAUGGUUGCAUAUAUAUAUAAAUGUGGUGCUAUGGAGGCACAGGUAAGUUCAAGUAAGUUAUGUUUGGCUAUGUGAAUCAUCGAUGAUGUGAUAUGUAAAAUGAUGUUGAGCUCAUAAAACUCCACCUAGGGUGAUUGAGAUUUAGCCAGAGAUAUAAAGUACAUGCCUGUUUAUGUACGUCACCUCCUGCACUAUAUGUUCAUAUUGGAUCCAACUUAAGUGCACAGUCUUGUCGUACAAACCUUAUUCAUGUUUUCCACUCGAAGGUGACUAGUGAUUUAUCACCCGGCUAUUAUGAGAGAAUAGAGUUGAGCAUAAUUAUAUUUCACCCAAUCUUGUCGUACAGACCCUUAUUGGUGGUUUCGACGUAUGUGCAGUAUCUUGCCGUAUAGGUCAUUGUAGUGACUCCGGCUAGAUUGACUUUUGAGCUAUGAAUUCAGCCGUGCAAACCACCUCAGGGGUUCUAACUAACAUAUCAUAUUUCUAUGAAAUCAUUCUUACCUGGAUUGUUUACUUGGUUACAUUUUGGCAUAGCAUACAUUUGAAUAUGAUUAUGUGAAGCAUGAAUUGAAUUGAUAUGAUUAUAUAUAUAUAUAUAUUAUGUAUAUGCUUAUAUCUUGAUUCUAGGAAAAAUAUACAUGUUUUACAGUGAGGGGUUAGUAUGUUGAUAAAUGAAAUGAUUUUGUAAAACAUUUGUUUUUGCCCACUCACGUUUUCUGUUUUGCGCCCCUCCAGGUUUUAAGUAAGCUUGCUAUUGGUGGUUUGAGGACUUCGGUAGUUCUGACUUAUCCAAAUAAUAGUAGGACAUUCCUGGUACUGUAUAAUUAGUACUUGUCCUACUGGACUGCACCUAGACUUUUAUGCUCUGAUUAGGAGUGUUUACUGUUGUAACUAACUUCUAUCAAUUUUUGUUUAGUAGUGCACUCUAGUAAUUUUGUUUUUAAUUAUUUCGUAUAUUUCUUAUCUUAUUGCUUCUGCACUGUGCACAUGGCUACGUCACUCUCACGUGACGGCCAACAUACCUUGAUCUCGGUCGGGGUGUGUCAUUCAAAAUUUAGUUCAAACAUUUGGUAGUAAACAUGUAAAUAUGAUAUAAGUAAAACCCGUAGAUAAUAGUUUUUUAGAAGGAACUCAGUGGACAUUGCCCAAUUUACAAGUAGAAACAAAUAGACAACUAAAUAAAGUACAAAUAUAUGAAACUAGUAUAGAUCAAGCAACAAUUAGGUUUAGUAAUCAUAAGCAACUAAAAAAAAUAGAAGAGGAUGAGAGUGAGAUCGAAAAUGAGAGUAUACAUAUGGAGUUUGAUAAUUUAGAUAUUAAUUUAGUUGAGCAAAACUUUGAUCAUAUUGUAGAUAAACUUAUAGAAGAUAUUGAUCAUUUAGAUGAAGAACAAUAUUUGGAAAAAUAUAAAACAUAUGAUUUAGGACUACAUAUAAUUUCAGACGAAGAGAUGAAAAAAUUAAUCUUAGAAAUAGGAGUAGAACAUAUUUUUGGAUCAAAAGAAUAUAAUAAUUUAUUAGAAUUGAAAGCAGAAUGUAAUCCAGCAGAAGAAAGUAGUACAUAAGGAGUAGAAAAUCCAGGACACGCAAGCAGAACUGAUCAACAAUUUUUGAGACCAACAAAUAAACAAUAUAAUGAAAAGGCAAAAGUAGAUUACAUAGAUGAAAGUAUGAUAAGACCACCUAGAAAAAAUAGGAUUCCAUAUUUGAAAGGGUUAGAACAAAUUAAUAUAGCUAGUAAUAUAUUAAAUUUAGACAAUGUAGAUCCAUAAGAUUGGGAAAGAACAAUUGAGAGAUGGGAAAAAGGUUGCGUCCAUGCAGCAUUAAUAUUAGAUUUUAGUAAUUCACAAAAUAUGUUAGAUUACUUUGAGCAUACUUUGGAUGGUUUAGUUUUUUAUUAUUUCCAGUCAUGGAAAGUCCAAAAUUCAGAACAGCAUUAGGCAGCUAAAACACAUUUUAAUAUUGAUGGUUUUGUCACUUUAAUUAAACAAGUGUUUUUAGAUCAUAAUAAGUUAGAUGACAGAAGCAAACAAGAACAAAUAAGAGCAAUUAGAAAUUUAGAACUAUUACCAAUUUGCGACUUGCAGUAUAUAGCUAAGUACACCACAUAUUUCUUUAAAUAUUUAGGAAGAACAGGUAGGAUUAGUGAUAUUAAUUUAUUAGAUACUUAUAUGACAAAAAUAAAAGGACCAAUAGGUUAAAGGAUUUGGAAUGAAUGGCAAAAGCAUCUAAAGAAGAAUGAUAUUGCAAUAGGACCUAGAAUUCAACAUGUAUAUUAUAUACUUAGACAAGAGUGUAGUCAAAUAAAAGUUAAGAGACAAAUUAGGAAGCAAUUUUACAUGAGUUGUAAAAAUAUAGAUUUACCACAAUAGUAUGGUUGCCAUAAGAAAAAUAAGCAUAAGAAAAUAUACAAAAAGAAAUAUAAGUCAUAUAAACCCUACAAACAGCAUAAGAAUUUCAGUAUAAGACCUUCAAGAACAUAUAGGAAAAGAUUAUAUAUUCCAAAACAAUUUAGAAAAAGAAGUGGCAGACGUUGGAUUAGAAAAUAUAAAGCACCAAAAGAUAGGAGUAGUUGUAAAUGUUAUUCAUGUGGAGAAGCUAGACAUAUUAGACCUAAAUGUCCAAAAUUAUGUAAACAGUCGAAAGAAAAAAUACAUUUGAUGGAGUUGUUUAAGUUAGAAGAAGAUGAGGAUAUUCAGUCAAUAUAUAGUUUAGAUGAUUUAAGUGAUAAUGAAAGUAUUUGUAGUAUAGAGAGUAUUAACAUGAUAGAUUCAGACUCGGAAGAUUCAAGUAGCACAAAUUGUGAUCUAGAAGAGUAUAUGUGUGCAUUCAUAGAAGAACAGCAUGAAGAAGAAUAUAAAUACAUUAAUUUAGGUUGGCUAGAAAAAUGUCAUAAGUGUAGUAAAUUAGUUGCAUAUAAAUACUAUAAUACAUAUUCAAUAUUAUGUGAAAAGUGUUAUAGUAAUAGGUUAUUAGAAGUUAAUUUAGCAGAAUCACAAGAAAAUACGGAAAUAUUAGGAAAUAUUGUUCAUAGCAUAGAAAAACCAAAAAAUAGUUCUUUAAUUACUAUAAAUUGUGAAAUAGAAUUAGCAAAAGAACAUAAAAUACAAACAAUAGAUACAGGGAGUAUAAAGAGUGUCAUAAGAGAAGAGUUAGUACCAGAAAAAUAUAGACAAAAAUUAGUAAAACCAGUAAGAAUAACACAAUUUGAUGAGAGACCAGUUUACUUAACACAUUGUAUAAAUAAUGAGUUUAUUAAAGUAGAAAAACAACAAUUUAAUUUACCAUUAACACUUGUUUCACCAGUAGGAUCAUAUCCAUUCAUUUUAGGUUUAAACUUUUGAAAAGUUUACAAGGUUUUUUUAUUUAUGAACCCUAACAUAACAUUUUUCAAAAGAGGCAUUACAAUAACUGAUCAAAGUAACGCUGUAGAAGCAUAUAAAAGUAUAAGUAUAGAAGAGUCUAGUGGCAAAGAUAGUUAUCAUUUAGAAAACUCAAAAGAAAGUGAUGAGCAUAAUAACAUAGAAGAGUUUGAUAAAGACAUAUUUGAACAUGAAUAUCCAAUUUUAGAAGAAGGAAACAACCGUAUAGAAAUAUUACAAUUAAGUAAACCAAGGAGUUUAGAAGAAUUAGGAGAAGAUCCACAGUUAUAUUGGAGUAAAAAUAAAAUACUAGCAAAAUUAGAUAUAAUUAACCCAGAUUUAACCAUUAAGACGGCUGAUAUGCCUUGUAGUUUAAUAGAUAAACAAGAGUUUGAGCAACAAAUAAAAGAGUUGUUAAAUUUAAAAGUAAUUAGACUCUCUAAGUCUAGACAUGGAUCAACAACAUUUAUUGUAAGAAAACAUUAAGAACUAAAGAGAGGUAAAGCUAGAAAAGUUUAUAAUUACAAGAGGCUAAAUGAUAAUACAUAUGAAGACAGUUAUAAGUUACCAAAUAAGGAUUAGCUUAUAAAUAAAAUUCAAGAGAGUAAAUAUUUUAGCAAAUUUGAUUGUAAAUCGGGAUUUUGGCAAAUACGAUUAGCAGAAGAAUCAAUUGAGUGGACAACUUAGUUGUCCAGAAAGACAUUUUGAGUGGCUUGUUAUGCCAUUUAGACUUAAAAAUGCUCCAUCGAUCUUUCAAAGAAAGAUGGACCAAAUUUUCAAGAAAUAUGAUAAUUUUUGUAGUGUUUAUGUAGACGAUAUCUUAGUACAUAGUAAAAAUAGAAAUGAACAUAGGAAGCAUUUAGAGAUAGUAUUACAAGAAUUUAUCAAUAAUGGAAUUGUUAUUAGAAAAAAUAAAAUAGCAUUAGAAAAGUAAGAUAUAGAAUUUUUAGGAAUGUAUAUCAAGUUAGGUACAAUACAAUUACAAGAUCAUAUAGCUAAAAUGGUGUUAGAAUUUCCAGACAAAUUAGAAGAUAAGAAAUAGUUAAAAACAUUUUUAGGAUUGUUAAAUUAUGCAAGAAAUUUUAUCCCUGAUUUAGGAAGAAAAAUAGCAGUAUUACAUGGUAAAACUAGCAAAAUAGGACAAAAAUAUUUUAAUAGUGAAGAUAUUAAAUUAGUUCAAAUAUAAAAGAAGAAAUUACUGAACUUAAGCCAUUAGCAUUACCAUUAGAUGAUAGUUACAAGAUAGUUGAAACGAAUACUUCAUCAUUAGGAUGGGCAUGUAUAUUAUACCAGAAAAAGCAUAAAGAGUCACCAAAGACUGACAAACAAGUUUGUAGAUAUUUAUCAGGAAAAUUUAGUGAUGUACAGUCAAGAUUACCAUAAAUAGAUUUAGAAAUUUUAGGGAUAAUUAAUUCACUUGAAGCAUUUUCUUUAUUUUUAUAUAAUGAAGUAUUUACGAUUAGAACAGAUUGUCAAAACAUAGUUUCUCAUUAUAAUAAGAUACAUGCUAAUAAACAGGCAGCCCGAAGAUGGGUUAAUUUUGUUGAUUCAAUUAUAGGAAAUGGUUUUAAACCAAUUUUUGAACAUAUAAAAGGUAAUGACAAUACAUUAGCUGAUAUCUUAUCAAGAUUAAUUUGUUGAACAUAUAUGGAAUAUCGUGGACCAUCAUCAGCAAAUAACACAAGGCCGCAAAGCAGAAGAGCUUCUUUCAAUAGCAUAAUGAUGCACCAUCAACCUCCACCAUUCAGUGGAUUUCAAAGUAGCAUAAGCAGACCAGCAUCACCACCAGUACCUACUUUCAACUUUAAUAGCAAUAUUGUUGAAGGAAUCAGAAAUCCAACCAUGAGAUAUAGGUCAAGAGUACCAGGGCUUUCUGAUAGGCAACAAGUUCUCUUAGAUAAUUUUUGGAAUAUCCAAAUCAAGCAGCCAAGCAUGAGGUUAGGUCAUGAAAAAUUAAUUAGAGCCUUAGAACAAGAGUUUGAUAGUUUUAAUUUUAAUUUCCAUCAAAGCCAACAUCAUAUUCAUUCUCUUGAGCAUAACCUUCAAGUUAUCUCUAGAGAACACGAGUCUUUACUCAGUAAGUUUAUCAAAAUGAACCAAGAACUCCAAGCUCUUAGAAUAUAAUAGAAGGCAAGUGACACCCUGAAAAGAGAAUUGAAGAUAGGUUUAGAAAUUGAUCAGCAUAAGAAUAAAGGAAAAGAUGUUAUUAAACCCAUAAAACAAGAGGCUAAUGAGCCCAUAGAAGAGAUUAAGAUUGAGCUCUAAGAAGAAGACAUUGAAAUGGAGCAGCAUUAAAAUAAUGAGCAGCAUUAAAAUAAUGAGCAGCAUCAGCAUCUAAGUGACAGAGACAAAAAAAAAAAAAAAUAUGAAAGUUUUCUUAAAAAUAUAUCUUUAGACUUAAUAUUAGAUGAUAUUUUAUUAGAAGAAAUUUCAAAGGCAAAACUAAGAAUAAUGCCAACAGAUAUGUAAAAUAAGAUCCUGAGCAGAGCAUCACAGUCCAUGAAAAAGUUACAAUUAUAAUUACAAUGCGCCUUGUAUCAGUCUAUCUUUGAUCCAAAACCAGGGAUGGAUAUUAUUACAAAUAUGUAUCCUACUUGUCUUUGUGAUAGUACAUAGAAUUGUAUUUGUAAACCAGAGGUUAGCGUAGCUGUGGCCAUAAUUAACAUGAGAGAUUUAAAACCAUGACAUUUUAGUUAUGAGCAUUAGAAAAAGCAUAAUAUGGUAGAAGUUACCCUUGCCUUACUAUUAGAGUUUGGUUAUCUCGAUAAAAUAUUCAUUAACUGUAUUUCUCAAUUAGAAUCAUUUCCUGAAAAACUUAUAAAAGUAGCAAAAGAUUAUCUGGAAAGGUGGAAAGAAAUUUGCAUAAGCUUUAUUAGUAGUCCUCCAGAUUGGUAUGUACAUAUGCAUAAGGAGAAAGCUAGGCAUAUAGCCAUGAUUAAUGAAGAGUCCUUUAGACUAUCCCCUAUCUCUUCACAUAGAUGGACUCCUUCAUACAAAAAUAUUUUAAAAUUUAAGGGGAUCCAAAUGUUUGCCUUAGAUGAGUUUGAAGAUUUUAGAUAUGAUAUGGCAUUAGUAGUAGAGGAAGAAGAGAUGUAUAUUUAUAGCAAGACAAGGAUCAGUCAUCAGCCUUAUUAGAAGUCUCAAAAUUUCAAAGAAGAAACAAUAGAAAUGUACUACAAGGUGAAAGAAGAUAGAGAAAGAGAUGCAGAGCUAAUAGAGGGCGAUGAAUAGUACUGGAAUAAUUUGACAGAAGAAGAGCUGCAUAACAUUGACAACAUGAUGAAAGCCUGCAGAGCUAGCUGUAAAUUAGCAUAAGUUUAAUAGCAUAAUGUAAAAUAAUGUAUUCCUAGAUAGAAAUGUCAACAUCAUUGUGGACCCCGCUAUAAUGACAUAAGAGUAAAUAAAGAAAAGAACAUGAUCCAUUAUAGACUUUUCAUACAUAAAAUGUCAUUUUGUUUAAGAAUGAAUAAUGCCAAGCCCUUUUCGUUAAAACUCCCUUAUUUAAACACAUAAGAUAAAGAUAGUACAAUGGAUUCAUGGAUGACGAAAAAUCCAACCUAAAUUUGAUCCCAUCAACACACAAUCAUGGCCCGCUAGCCUCUCUAUUAUAUGUAACUCUCCCAUUACUCUUAUAACACUAAAUUAAUGGAGUACUGUACAAUCAUAUAUCAUUUUGUUAAUAAAAUGAUAUGAUUGUAAAUUAUUAAUUUUUAAUAUAACGAUAUAAAUCUAAACUAAACGGUAGGGUUAUAAAUUGGUAUAAAAUUCAUCAUCAUGAGAUUCAAAAAUAAAACUUCACUUACAAGUAAAGAAGAAUAUACUAUGUAGCAACUCAACAUUACUUCAAGUCUGUAAUUGUUGUGUUCCUCGAUGAGUAGAUUUUAUAUUAUAUAUUUUACCCUAAUCUUAGUAUAUUUUGGUUAAUAUAUUGGAAGAAUUUUGAUACUUUGAAUUGUAUUUUCAAUAUAGGACUUUCGACUUCCUCUGGAGCAAAACAGGACCAAAUGGACGAAUUUUGGAGUAAUUCCAGUUGGAGGACGUUCGUGAGUCACUUAGCUUGAUCGUAUCAAAAUUUGGGAUUUUUCCACCAAGCGGUUAUUUUCUGGCGAUGAAAUAAAGAAGCAGUGCGCAGUGCUGGAAAAUGACGUUUUUGGAGCCCAAGAUGACCUCGGAUGGGUUCGUGGCCUUCUGGAAAAGUGUUCAGAAUAUUCCAAACAUCAAAUCCAGCUAUAUUGGGCCAGUUUUGGAGCAGCUUAUGGGCCAAAACGUGGCUGUUCAGAUUUUUAGACGAAUUUUACUAUUUUUUUAUUUAGGGUUUUUAUUAAUUUUAGUUGGCUAGGGUUUUUGUGGUGGCUUAGCAAAUAUAUUGGUGAGCCGUCUACAGUUUUAGAUUACGCUUUAUUUUAUGCAAUAUUGGAGACAGAGAGAAGUGCUAGGAUUUUGAAGAUUUUCUACUUGAAGGUGUUUUCAAUCCUUUUCUUAAUAGAUAUUUCUAUGAUUUCAGUUAUGAAUAUGCGGAACUAAUUUCUUUUGCUAGGGCGAAGCCUUGAGCCUUAGCAUGAAUAUGUGAUUUUUAUUUAAUUUCUUAUGAUUGAUUGCAUGCGGACUUUGAAUUGUUAAUCACCGGGAUAAAAACUAUCUAAUUGUCGUAAUGCCUGAUCACCAUUAGGAUCUUUAGAAAAGUAAUUUGAUGCAAUUUUGGUCGGAAGGUUCCCUGAAAUUGACGCUGGCUUCUUGUGAUUAAUAAUUGUAAUUUCUCUUAAGAUGAAUAUCACGUCUUAAGGAUUGCAUGGUUUUUCAAGAGAUUUUCAUAAAGCAUAAUGAGUCUUUCAUGUUUAGAUUUGAUCCGAACAUCCGGACGGGUUGCAUGUUAGAUAUACGUUCUAUGUUGGAGGUUCCAAGUAGAAUAUGAAUUAGGAAAAUCUAACCUUCAAAGUGGCAUGUGUAGAUCAUAAGUAAUUGGUAAAAAUUCAUAGGAUUGCUAGGUGAUGGUGGAACCCUAGUGCCUUCUUAAUUUGAUUUUCUCAUAACUGUUUUCUUUUCUCUAGCUUUAAUAUUGCAGAUUAUCUAUUUUAAUUCAUUAAAUUCGUUUUUACUUUAAGUAGGUUAUAAAAUCAAUCAUCCAAAUUUCUACUUUACAAUCAUUAAUUGAAAUCUGAUUUGUUUCGAAUUAUUUAAUAAUCCCUGUGGAGAAUGACCUUGCGAGAUCCGUUUAUACUACAAUAACCUUGUGAUUCUUGCAAGUAAAAUAGGAGGUUUUUAUCGCAUUUACAUGAGUAGUAAAAAUCCCUAUCAAGAAAAUGGCGCCGUUGCCGGGGAUUAUUUAAAAUAAUUCCUACGAAUCAGAUUUUCAAUUAGUUAUUGCUGUUUAUACAUAUUAAAAAAAAGAAAAAAAAUUAAUUUUCGAUUUUUUUUUAUUUUUACAGAUUACAACAGUACAGAUUUCAGAAACUGUGCAUGGUCAGCACCCGUUCAACAGUGCAGAAAUUGAUUCCAUUUGAUCCAGAAUUUGAGCAGCAUUUAAGGAGGAAACGCAGGGAGAAAAAUUUGCAGCGGGUUCGUCCUCUGCAGGAGACUUUUCGGCAAUCAGACUUUGACCUGCACAACAAAGAAAAAAUGGCGUUUGUAAUUCCAGAGGCAGGUCUGCCCCUGGGUGAUUCACUGACAGCCCAUACAACAAAUAUACCCAGUUGCAUUACAUAUCCGGCAGUGGAAGAAGGGACUGCAUUUGAAAUAAAACAGCACAUGUUGAAUAUUCUACCUACGUUUCAUGGGUUUUCAUCUGAUGAUCCUAACAUGCACAUUGCAGAAUUUUUAAUGGGGUGCAAAAACAUUUUGGUGAGGGGAUUUUCGGCUGAAUCUAUUAAGUUGCGGUUAUUUCCAUACACUCUAAAGGAUCAGGCAAGGAGAUGGCUCCUCACACUCCCAUCUGGAAGCAUUACAACUUGGGCCCAACUCAGUGAAAAAUUUCUAAACAAGUAUUAUCCAGCUUCUAAGACUCUUGACAUGAGAACUCAGAUUUUAUCUUUUGCCCAAAAACCAAACGAAGAGUUUCAUGAGGCGUGGGAGCGGUUUAAAGAGUUGAUUAGAAAAUGUCCGCAUUCGGGUAUUAGCACAACUGAUCAAAUGCAUAUAUUUUUCAGAGGGUUGAAUAUGACUACAAAAACUCUUGUCAACGCUUCUUGCGGAGGUACGUACAAAGACAAAAAUGCACAAGAGGCUUGUUUGUUAUUUGAAAAAAUGGCAGAAGAUACUCAGCAGUGGGCAGUGGAGCAGCCACAAUCUAGGUCAGCUUUUGAGAUGUCUACUGGUUCUCCCUAUGUUACAGCACAAAUUGAAAAAAUGGAGAAAAGGCUUGACGCGAAAUUUGACAUGUUAUUACAGAGAAUGCCAGGUUCUCAAGUUGCUGUACAGCAGCCUUUACAAGCUGCCUGCAGCAUUUGCAACAUGAUAACUCACGAUUUUAUGAGCUGCCCACAUAAAGAGGUUUCACCAGAAUUUACAGCAGAGCAGGUUAAUGCAUUUAACAAUUUUCCAGCGUCCCCGAUAUGACCCAUAUUCUAAUUUCUACAACCCAGGUUGGAGAGAUCAUCCUAAUCUAAGGUGGGAUAAGGAACAGCACACUAGACCUCAAUUUCAACAGCAGGUACAGCAACCUGCUGCACCUAAGGCUGCCUGGGAGGUUGCGAUUGAAAAAUUGGCAAAUACUACCACUCAAGAAAUUCAAAAUCUGCAGGCAUCAGUGAAAAACAUGGAAAAACAAAUGGGGCAGAUUGCGUUGCAGGUUUCUGGAAGGGCUCCAGGUACAUUUCCCAGUCAAACCGAACCAAAUCCUAGGGGAGGUGCAGAUUGCAAGGCAGUUAGAGUUCUACGUUCCGGAAAAAGUUUUGAUAACAGGGAUGAAAAUUGCUUAAAAAAUUCGCGGGUGACUUCACAGCCAAAAACAGAUUCGGGGAAUGUUGAAAAAUCUGCCAAUUCAAAGGAUUCUGAACAGACAGUGAACAGUUCCAAAGAUGGUGCGGUUAUUGUUGAGGAUCGUGUUUAUGAACCACCUAUGCCUUAUCCCGAACGGUUGAAGCCUAAAGUUAAAGAUCAACAAUUGACAGAUUUUAUGAAGACUUUGUCUAAGGUUCAGAUUAAUCUACCGUUAAUUGAUGCUAUCAAAAACAUUCCGUCUUAUGCCAAGUUUUUGAAGGAUGUUUGCACAAAGAAAAAGAAGCUUGUGGAUUUUGAGAAAGUGAUUCUUACAGAACAGUGCAGCGCUGUUCUGCUUCACAAAUUGCCCCCAAAGAAACAAGAUCCAGGGAGUUUUACAAUUUCAUGCACAAUUGGAAGUUCUCAUUUUAAACGUGCUUUAAUUGAUUUAGGCGCUAGUAUUAACUUAAUGCCUUUUUCUGUUUUUCAGAGACUAGGACAAGGAGAAAUCAAGCCUACAUCAGUUAUUCUACAACUUGCGGACCGUUCAGUUGCUUAUCCAAGGGGUAUUAUAGAAGACCUAAUUAUUAAAGUGGAUAAUCUCUACCUUCCUGCAGAUUUUGUGAUUUUGGAUAUGGAUGAAGAUAUGCAAACACCGAUUAUUUUGGGACGUCCAUUCAUGGCUACAGCCAGAACGUUAAUUGAUGUAGAGGCUGGGACACUUACACUUAGAGUGCAAGAUCGAUCUGUUGUGUUCAGUUUAUUUGAGGCUACCAAAAGGCCAGGUGAUGUGCAUGAUUGUAUGCGUGUUGAUGUGCUUGACAGCUUAUUACAGGCUGAAAUUAUGCCACGUUUGACAUCAGAUCCAUUGUUAAAUGUAUUGCAUGGGUUUGAGAACACAAAUACAGAAGAUGAAGAGUGUUUUGAGUACGUUUCAGCUUUGGAAAGUGAUCAUUUUCAACCCCCACGUUGGAGGCCUGUUUUUGAGAGUUUGGGGGAACCCAAGAAGUUGUUGCAGCCUUCUAGGGUACAGCCACCUAAACUGGAGUUGAAGGUUCUUCCAGAACACUUGAAAUAUGCUUAUUUGGGAGCAGAUUCUUCGCUGCCAGUUAUUAUAGCUGCUGAUUUAUCAUCAACAGAAGAAGAUAAGUUGUUGCGCAUUUUAAGAAGUCAUCAAGAUGCAAUUGGCUGGACUAUAACCGACAUUAAAGGGAUCAGCCCUACAAUUUGUAUGCACAAAAUUUUGUUGGAGGAUGGAGCAAAACCUGCCAUUGAUGCUCAACGUCGGUUGAAUCCAAUUAUGAAAGAAGUUGUUCGUAAUGAAGUUAUGAAGCUUUUGGAUGCUGGGAUGAUCUAUCCCAUUUCAGAUAGUAAGUGGAUUAGUCCAACUCAAGUGGUGCCAAAGCGUUCUGGUAUUACAGCUGUGAAAAAUGAUAAUAAUGAACUUGUGCCUACUCGCUUGACUACUGGGUAGCGUAUGUGUGUUGAUUAUAGAAAGAUCAAUGCAGGAACUAGAAAAGAUCAUUUUCCAUUGCCAUUCAUUGAUCAAAUGUUGGAACGGUUGGCUGGUCGUGCUUUCUACUGUUUCUUGGAUGGCUAUUCAGGGUAUAACCAGAUUCCAGUUGCCCCUGAGGAUCAAGAAAAGACAACCUUUACUUGUCCUUUUGGGACUUUCGCAUACAGAAGAAUGCCUUUUGGGUUGUGCAAUGCGUCUGCUACGUUUCAGCGUUGCAUGAUGAGCAUAUUUACCGGGUUAGUUGAACAUGUAGUUGAGGUAUUUAUGGAUGAUUUUUCUGUUUUUGGGGAUUCUUUUGACCAAUGUUUGCAGAAUUUAUCUCUAGUUCUGGAAAGAUGCAUUAAGACCAACCUGGUUUUAAACUGGGAAAAGUGUCACUUCAUGGUUAGGCAGGGAAUUGUCUUGGGCCACUUGAUUUCUAACAGGGGUAUUGAAGUUGAUAGGGCAAAAAUUGAAGCAAUUGAAAAGAUGCCACCCCCGACAUCUGUUAAGAGUGUUCGAUCUUUUCUUGGCCAUGCCGGGUUUUAUUGACGGUUCAUCAAGGAUUUCUCCAAGAUUAGCCGACCCUUGUGUAAUUUAUUGGCUAAAGACGCUCCUUUUGUUUUUGAUGAAGCUUGUUUGGAGGCCUUCAAGAAGUUAAAGACACUCCUCACUACAGCUCCCAUUAUUGCAGCACCUAAUUGGAGCCUGCCUUUUGAACUGAUGUGUGACGCAUCAGAUUAUGCAGUGGGGGCAGUUCUUGGACAGCGAACAGAUAAACUUCCCCAAGUUAUUUAUUAUGCUAGUCGAACCCUCAAUGAUGCACAACUAAACUAUGCUACCACAGAGAAGGAAAUGUUGGCAAUUGUUUUUGCUUUGGAAAAAUUUCGAUCGUAUUUAGUUGGGGCUAAAGUGAUUGUUUAUACAGAUCAUGCAGCUUUGAAAUAUUUGUUGAAUAAAAAAGAUGCUAAGCCUCGAUUGAUUCGUUGGAUUCUUUUAUUGCAAGAGUUUGACUUAGAAAUCAGAGAUAAAAAGGGCAGUGAAAAUGUAGUGGCUGACCACUUGUCUAGAUUGAUUAUUCCCACAGCUUCAGAAGAGGAUUCCUUACCACUGAGGGAGAGUUUUCCAGAUGAACAGCUAUUUGCAGUCCAAUUCCGUACACCAUGGUUUGCUGAUAUUGUUAAUUACUUGGUUAAAGGUGUAGUGCAUCCAGAUUUAAUGGUUCAGCAGAAAAAGAAGUUUUUAUCUGAUGUGAAGCAUUAUUUCUGGGAUGAGCCAUACCUAUUUAAGUAUUGCCCAGACCAGAUUAUUCGCAGAUGUAUUCCUGAAGCCGAACAAGAAAGUGUAUUAAGGUUUGCUCAUCAUUUUGCUUGUGGAGGACAUUUUGGGCAGAAAAGAACGGCAGAAAAAAUUUUGCAAAGUGGGUUAUUUUGGCCUACACUUUUUAAAGAUGCAUAUAAUUGGUGCAAGGCUUGUGAUAGGUGUCAAAGGGUCGGCAACCAGUCCAAAAGGAAUGAGAUGCCCCAGCAAAGUAUUUUGAUUGUUGAAUUAUUUGAUGUGUGGGGUAUUGAUUUCAUGGGACCAUUUCCAUCUUCCCAUGGGAAUCAAUAUAUUUUAGUCGCUGUGGAGUAUGUUUCUAAGUGGGUCGAGGCCAUAGCAGCACCAACUAAUCAGGGAUCAGUGGUCCUGAGAUUCCUCCAAGGGGUUAUAUUUCCGCGUUUUGGAAUUCCACGCGUUAUUCUUAGUGAUGGGGGGAAGCACUUUAUUAAUAAAUCAUUUGCUAAUUUAUUGGCAAAAUAUGGGAUUAAUCAUCGUGUGGCUACACCUUAUCAUCCACAGACAUCUGGUCAAGUGGAAGUUUCAAACAGAGAAUUAAAACGCAUUUUGGAGAAAACAGUUGGUUCAACACGAAAAGAUUGGAGUUUAAAAUUAAAUGAUGCAUUGUGGGCCUACAGGACAGCUUUUAAAACUCCUAUUGGGAUGUCACCUUUUCAACUCGUUUAUGGGAAAGCAUGUCAUCUACCUAUGGAGCUUGAGCAUAAGGCAUUCUGGGCAAUUAAAGAGUUAAAUUUUUCAUAUGACUCAGCUGGGGAACAACGUAAAUUGCAGCUCAAUGAGCUGGAGGAAAUUCGUCAGGCUGCUUAUGAAAGUUCUCGCAUCUACAAGGAAAGAACUAAGGCGUUUCAUGAUAGUCAAAUUUUACGAAAAGAAUUUCAGCCAGGGCAAAAGGUGUUGCUAUUCAGUUCAAGGCUAAAGUUGUUUCCAGGGAAAUUGAAAUCUCGCUGGACUGGGCCGUAUUUGGUUACUAAAAUCUUUCCUCAUGGGGCAGUUGAAAUAUCUAAUGAGGCUCAAGGCAACACAUUCAAGGUGAAUGGUCACAGGCUGAAACCAUACGUGGAGUCACCCUUUGAUACUGCAUACGAGUCUUUGACUCUGAAGGCACCAGUGAUCUAGCCACCGGACUUCCGUAACGUCUAGCUACAGACUUAAAAUAAAGCGCUUAUUUGGGAGGCAACCCAAUUUUUUUGAACUCUUUGCUAAUUUUAAUCUUCUUUUGAUUUUCUCUUUAAUUCAAAAAAAAAAAAAAAUACAUACAUAAAAAUUAAAUACAUAAAAAUAAAAAAAAAAUCAAAAACAAAACAUGGAAGAUUGCAAUUUGUUUUAAUUUACCCAUUCAAUUUUUACUUUUAUUUUUAUUUUCAAUUUUUUUACGCAUAUUGGUUAAUUGCAGGUUGCGAACGUGGAAAAUAAAGCGUGUCCUAUGCUGGAAUCCUGCACCCAGCAGCAAGUCUAACGUUCACAUCAACCACAUCUACACUAGGCAGAAAAUUUAAAGCAGUCAGCAUAAAAAAAAAAAAUCAUUCACAGCUGCAAGUUUGGGGGAGAUUGUUGCAGAUCCAGCACAGAAACAGAAUUUAGAGCAAUUAAUUUUCUGCAGCUCAGUUUUGCGAUGCAUGGAGGAAGCACAAUUAAAUCACAGAUCCAUACACCACAGAACUGAGUACAGCUAUUAUUACCAGAUCUACAACAAUUCCACUUCCAAGGAUAUGAAAUUUUACCUCCCAGAUUCACCGAUCUGGGUUCUUAGAAGCUUGUCCCGUUUUUGUCUAUUGCAGCUGAGGUUUCGCCGUCCACUUUAUUUCCCACGGAUCUAUCAGUGACCAUAUUUCCUGAAAAGUUCACAACAAGAAGACUAAUGACAAUUUGAUUUUCAUGAUCCAGGUUAUGUAUCACUUAAAACACACAAGCUUGUGAAAGUCAUAUUUUCUUACGGUCUUAUUAGUGUUGAUAUUUGUUCAUCAGUCUCCCGCACUUCAAGUUCACUUUCAUCAUAUCAUGUUAAUCAGUAUGUUGUUCGUUCGAUUCAUGUUCAAACCCGCAUAUACAUAUGGUUUUUGUUAUCAUUUUUCUAAGUUCCAUGGACGAAAUAAAUCAUGACAUUUAACCAAGAACAGGGAUGAGUUUAUACCUUCAUAGUCGAAAGAUCAAAACCUUCAUGAUGGGCCAUGCUUUAUGUCCAGUGGAUUUUCAGUUUGAGAGUUCUUUCUCGGGUCUGUCACAGAUCUGAGUGUUGUGCACACAUACCACACCAUUAUAAUUAUAUGCAUAUGUGAUGAAGCUAUUUUUGUCAUUAACCUACGGAGUACAAGAUUUUUACCUUUUGCAGGAAACAGAUCUGCAAGGUUGUAGCUGGUUUGCGUUUUCUUUGUCAUGGCUAAACUUCCAGAUCGAGAACCUGUGCACAUAAACAAAAUACCACAUCAGUCUACACAUGCAGUGUGGAGUAUAUGAGACGCACAAAUGGACAAUGUUUACCUCUGUGGUAAGGCUGUGUUCGGAUUUUUGCAGAGGAAAGUGUGUGUGGUUGCGCGGCUAAGGGUGAGGAGGAGUAAGGAAAUGAGAGAAAAAUGUGAAAGAAGGAGAGCUUUUUUUCAUUUUAGAGAGCAAUGGGGUCUGAGAGAAGAGAGAGAGAGUUGUGAAAUAAAAAGAAAGUAGAGAGAUGAAAUGGGGUCCGAGAGAACUAAAAAAAUAAAAUAAUAGAAGGGCUUGCUGUGAAAUGGAGAGAAAGCAUUUUCAGAUCUGCAAGGAAGAGAGAGAUAUGGGCAAGUGGGUUGAUCUUAACCUUUUAGUUGGAAUCCUAAGAAGUGGUCGCACGGAUGCGCGACACGUGUCCAAUUCUGGCAUUUUUCUUGUCUGUCCGAGAACGUGGUCUUGAACUAGGCAAAGAAAGAGCCGUUUGGCUCUUGGUUUAAUCAAACGCAGAGAGUAGGAGGGCGUGGUGCUCGAGGUCAACCAGAAAAAAAAAAAAAAAAAAAAAUUCAAGUUGCACGCGGAACCUUUUCAUUUCCCAGGCCAUAUAGGAGGCCACGUCUCCUAGCUGCAUGCCAGUUGGAGAUUUUCAUUGCAUGGGUUUUGUGUGGCUUUUAUUUGGCCACACUUAUAUCAACCACAACGUCACUUCCAAAGCCAGGUAGUCUUUUUUCUUUUUCUUUGGUUCUUGUUACUACUUUUCCUUGUUAUAAUUAUUAUUUGUUAGUUUAAGUUUAUUUUAUUUUUGUCAUUUUUUUUAUUUUCGUUUCCACACCUUGAGGACAAAGUGUGAAAUAAGUUUGGGGGUGGGAAAGUAAAUUUUAGUUUUUUUUAUUAUUGUGUCCGUUUAAAAAUUUUCAUUCGUGCUAAGUUAAUAUCCAUAGAUUAUUUUAAACGUUAGAACAAAUGGACAUGGUAAAGAUUAAUCCCAUAGUAGAGUCUUUUCUAUUUAUCGUUGCUUAGACACUAAUUCAUGAAUUAUACUUUGAACUUUGCACAUCACACCAACAUGGUUUGUGGGGAGUGAGAUUGAAACACUUGCUUUUAGUCUAAGUUAUUUUUAAUUUUUGUUUUAAGUAAAGUCAGUUAUUAUUGUGAAUAAAGUAAUAAUUGUCUCACCCGAGGUUUUGCCUAGUAACCGGGCCAGUCCUGCCUAAUCAGCAGUGAUUCUCGCGUCAAACGGUAGAGUUUUGGCAUGAGGCAGGGUGGUUAGUUGGUUUCGUAGCCUUUUCAGUUCGGGUUAAUAAGUCCUUAGGGGUGUUCUACACCUAGUGCCCUAAAGCCCUAGUGGUUUGGGAGUCAUUGACCUAAAGCUCGCUACAUGGGUUGGAUUGAAAGCUUAAGUGAACCGACAUUGCACGACCACUACUGUUACUGAAAAAAAAAAAAAAAUGUUAUAUACAUGAAAAAAAAAAGAGAAAAAAAAAAUUGAAAAAGAAAAAAAAAAAAAAAAAAAAGAAAGAGAGUUAUAUUUAAAGUUAGUAUGUGUGAAAUAAAUAAGGACGAGAGGUAAGGGUUUUAGUCGAGUCCCCUUAAUUAUGUUGGUUCACUUUACACCAAAGGAAGUUUGUGAAUUCUUUUCUAAUUGAUUCUAAAUGGCUUAGACUCUGUGGUGGGAUUGGUUGGAACUUUUGAAAAAAUGUUCUAGUUUUUUAAAUUUGCUAUGGAUUGCAACUUUGAAGAUGAAAAUUUUUGUCAGUUAAUUUUAGCUAGUUGUCUAGUUUGUUAAGUUUUUAUUUUUUGUUUGAGUCUUGUUUUCCUUGAGGACAAGCAAAAAGCUAAGUUUGGGGGUAUUUGAUGAGUAGAUUUUAUAUUAUAUAUUUUACCCUA
rnacentral:lncRNA from 1 species